rnacentral:lncRNA from 1 species
CGAACACAUCAAAGAUUUUAAGCGAUAAAUAAAACAACCAGAGUCAAACAAAAACUCAAUUUAGUGGUUUUCAAGCGUUCCAAUAACAAGAAGGACUAAAUAAUUUAGCUUAUAAUCGGGGAAAAUUUGAAAUAAAUUAACAAUAUCCCUUUUUAAUUGUAAUCUUCUGCUAUCUAGAUCAAUUGAUUGCACCUGCCUCAACAUCAGCAGAGACAAAGGGCAUUGGAGGGAUCUCCAAGCUUUGUAAAUCAGCUUCAAGCAUUUGUAACACAAUUGGCAUGGAAGGUCUCUCCGUGGGAUUCCAUUGAAUGCACCAAAUUGCCACAAUUGCAAGCUUUCUGGCAAUUCCCUCAUCCCCAUCUUCCUCAAAAUCCAAACAGAGCUCUUGUCCUUGCCUCAUUCUAUUGUAAAUCCACUCCGGAAAAUAUAUUUGGCUCUGAAUUUCAACCGCAGGAUCAUUAUUUUUUCUGCAUCCGACCAUCUCUAACAGCAUCAUUCCGUAACUGUAAACAUCAGACUUGUAAGAGAUCUCACCAAAAUUCCUGGAGAAAAGUUCAGGUGCAAUGUAGCCAGAAGUGCCUCUGGCAGCUGUCAGAGAUACAAUGCUUAUGUCCUUUGAGCACAACUUAGCCAGUCCAAAAUCUGAAAUCUUCGGUUGAAAAUUAUGGUCUAAUAAUAUAUUGUGAGGCUUGAUAUCGAAGUGCAGGAUCCUCUGGUUGCAUCCUUGGUGCAAGUACUCCACUCCACGGGCAACGCCAAAUGCAAUCUUCCUCAGCUUCUCCCAACUCAAUUGACGGUGACUUGAGCUAUUUGUCUUUGAGAAGAUGAAUUUCUCAAGUGAUCCAUUGGGCAUAAACUCGUAAAUAAGAGCGCGACGAUUCCCUUCAGAGCAAAAUCCCAGAAGCCGAACAAUGUGAAAGUGGUGAAUCCUGCCAAUUGUGGCCACUUCAUUGAUGAACUCUUGUCCAUUUCCUUUUAAAUGUUCCAACAUCUUGACAGCAACUGGAAUUCCGUUGAAGAGUUUUCCUCUGAACACACUUCCAUAACCUCCCUGGCCGAGCCUGUGCUUAAAUCUGCUUGUUAUUUUCUUCAGUUCUUUGUAAGUAUAUCUGGUAGGAUUGACGGUCCUGUAGUUUUCUAGGAACUUCUCCACCUUCAGUUGAGUCUCUUUUUCUUUUUCAGAUUCUCUUGAUCUGUAAAUGAGAAAUAUCACUAAUGCAAAGAGGGUGAUGCCUCCAAUGCUUGUGCCUGUGGAUAUUAGACUUAUUGAUAAAGGGCCAGGACCAUCUGUUAUAUAUAACUAAGAAAAGUUAGUUAAAAAAUUAACUCAAACAAUAAAAUGAGAUGCUAAAAGUCUGGACCCGUGCAAGCUUAACUUGGUAGCAUAAAGACUCUAAUAUCAUUUGAUUGGGUUUUAACAAGUCCCUCUCAUGUGACCAUCUCAUAUAGGUAUUUGUCCAUAACUUAAAUGAGAAUUAUAUAUCUUAUUCACAUGGGUGGAUAGAUAAUUAGGUUGUCAUUUAACUAAAUAAUGAAAAAAAUACUAAUAAGCAGAAGAUGAAAUUAUUUGAACUGCAAAGUAAGCACUCUUUUACCUUACACACUUUAAUUUUAAAAUUUUAACUUUUACUUGAGUACACAAUGAAAACACCAAAAUUAUCACAAUUAGAAAUCUCUGUCUUUAUGUUUUUUUUUUUCCCUUUCUGCAUUCACAAAAUGAUUUUUUUCCCCUCAUCUCUUAUUCCAUGUGAAUAUUGAGGGUUACUUGAUUGAACAAAUUUUUUUCUCAAUAAAUUUUCCAUCAUGAACUUAAUCAUAGAGAAAAAGUAUUAGUAUAAUAAUUCUUCUUAAUUUGUGUUCAUUGAGUACGCAAGAAAAUAUAAUAGGUUAAACUUUUAUCAGGCAUUGUGAGUUUAAUCAAUCUCUCACCAUUUACGAAAAUUAAUUGUAAUAUAAAGAUUCAAAGAUUAAAUUGACGAGAUAGAGAAAAUUAGUAUUAUGUAUUUGGUCCUGAGUAGUAUCAAUUUUUCUUCAAACAGUCAAAUCAGCCUGGCUAGCAACAUUUUAUUAACCAAUCUACAACUGGCACGAAUACCAGAAAGCAGCCUUUAAUAGCAAUGAUAUUCGCCAUACAGAUUAGGGGUAGGUAAAAUUAUAUUUGCCGCCAAAAAAAUGAAUCGUUAGUCUUUUUUUUUUUUGGUUAAAAAAAAAUCCAUCGAUUUAUAUGAGAGAAAAUAAAAAGCCAAAAAAACUAGAAAAACGCAAAAGAAAUUACAGGUCAAAGGGAAAAAAAAAAGCCUAACUAAAUCGAACCAAAUUGAUUGGAUUUUCAAUUCAGUUCAAAUUGUUAAUUUUUUGAAAAACUCACCAUCGGAAUUCAACUAAAUCUAACCAAAAGUGAAAUAUAGAUGGCUUCUUUAAUUUUUAACUUCUAGCAAUUGUAAUUACACUUUUACAAUUGAAAAAAUAAUGCAAAGCCUAAUUAUUAUUAUUUUUUCUUUUCAUUUACACUGCUCUGAUAAAUUUUCCGGCAUAUAUAACAAUGAUAAUAAAUUUGAUUGGGUUUUAACAAGUCCCUCUCAUGUGACCAUCUCAUAUGGGUAUUUGUCCAUAACUUAAAUGAUAAUUAUAUAUCUUAUUCACAUAGGUGGAUAGAUAAUUAGGUUGUCAUUUAACUAAAUAAUGAAAAAAUACUAAUAAGCAGAAGAUGAAAUUAUUUGAACUGCAAAGGAAGCACUCUUAAACCUUACACACUUCAAUUUUAAAAUUUUAACUUUUACUUAAGUACACAAUGAAAACACCAAAAUGAUCACAAUUAGAAAUCCCUGUCAUUAUGCAUUUUUUUUGCCUUUCUGCAUUCAAAAAAUGAUUUUCUUUUCCUCAUCUCUUAUUCCAUGUGAAUAUUGAGGGUCACUUGAUUAAACUAAUUUUUUUUCUCAACAAAUUUGCCAUCAUGAACGUAUAUUGGCUCUUACAUAAAAAGUUGACAAAGACAACCAUAGAGAAAAAGUAGUAGUAUAAUAAUUCUUCUUAAUUUGUAUUCAUUGAGGACGCAAGAAAAUAUAAUAGAUUAAACUUUUAUCAGGCAUUGUAAGUUUAAUCAAUCUCUCACCAUUAACAAAAAUUAAUUUUAAUGUAAAGAUUCAAGAUUAAAUUGACGAGAUACAGAAAAAUAGUACUAUCUAUUUGGUCCUGAGUAGUAUCAGUUUUUGUUCAAACAGUCAAAUCAGCCUGGCUAGCAACAUUUUAUCGACCACUCUACAACUGGCAAUAAACCUAGAAUGCAGCCUUUAUAGCAAUGAUAUUCCCAUACAGAUUAGGGGUGGGUAAAAUUAUAUUUGCCGCCAAAAAAAGGAAUCGUCAGUCUUUUUUUUUAGUAAAAAAAAAAUCCAUCGAUUUACAUGAGAGAAAAUAAAAAAUCAAAAAAACUAGAAAAACGCAAAAGAAAUUACAGGGCUAAUUAAAAAAAAAAACUAACUAAAUCGAACCAAAUUGAUUGGACUUUCAGUUCAGUUCAAAUUAUUAUUUUUUUGAAAAACUGACCAUCGGAAUUCAACUAUAUCUAACCUUUGCUCAGUGCCCACCCCUAUUAAUAUAGAUGGCUUCUUUAAUUUUUAACUUUCUAGCAAUUGUACUUACACUUUUACAAUCGAAAAAAAUAAUGCAAAGCCUAAUUAUUAUUAUUAUUUUUUUCAUUUAUACUGCUCUGAUCACUUUUCCGGCGUAUAAAACAAUGAUAAUAAAUUCAACUUAUUAUUUUUAUUGUUAGCUAAAUAGAGACGAUGCUUUCACUUUCAAGCACUGUAGAGAGAGGUGACUGAGGAAAAGUAUGGCUACUUACGUUUUUGGUGUUUAACGGCAACGCAGAUUGUCGAAUUGCUUGUAGUAUUGAACCCACAAUAAACGCAGAUUGUCGAAUUGCUUGUAGUGUUGAACCCACAAUAAUUCCCUUAAUUUUCGCAGUGGUAGCAUCCAUCAAGAGCUUCCCAUCCUAAGACUACUGGUCUUGCCCUGGCCGUCGUAGCAACAUCCUGCAGAGGUAAUCCACCAGGAAUCUCAACUGUUCGAGAUUUUCUGCAAGAUGGAGGCAUUUCCUCCAUUAAAUAUUCGCUAUAUAUGAUAUACACAAGAUUGUUUUCGCUGCCGAGACAAUUGAUCGGUCCAAUUGCUUCAAAAGGAGUCCGUUCUGAAGCAGCCUUCUCAGUGCAGUUAUAUAAAGCGUAACUGUCAUUAAAGGGAAGAAAAAAGAAUUUGGAGCUUGUGAGGUUGAAUGAGAUAAGACUUUGAAACGGGCAUGCAGUCUCAUUCACAUCUGUAAUGUUAAUACUGCUAUCUAGAUAAGAAAUUUCAUGGACAUAAUAAUCACCAGAGGAAGGAAGAUGCCAGAUUGCCUUGUCACUUAAGCAUGACAAUUCAAACCCUUCAAGGCCACAAGAUAUCGGUUGAGUUUUGAGUCUGAAGGGAUAUCUGAUGCUUGGGCUCCUAUUACUGCAUCUUGUUGGUUGACAGAAUUCAUAUUUAUCUGUCUUGUUGUCUUCCGCAGAAGCUUUGGCUAAUGUACAUGUAUAAGGUAAGAAGAGGACGAGGAUUAUUAAACUCAUCACGAGGGACAUGGAGGGCGAGGGAGAGUGGAGUUUGAGUUAGAGCGGGGUUUUGAGUUAUGCUUUUGGAGUAAUGAGGGAGAGCAGAGUUUGAUUGUCAAUUUGUCAAGGAAAAAGGUAGGAAAAUGGGUUUCUUUUAAUUUCUUCUGUUUUUCUAAGUCAAUGGUAGCCCCAAAGAGACUAGUCAACUUCAAAAUCUGCCAAUAUCAGAUGCAUGGAGGAACAAGAUGAGACUUGCUGUUUGUGAUAUAGAUUUUAGUGAGAGUUGCGAAAGUAAUUUGUCGGUAAAGAAAUGAGAAAAUUAUGUUUUUAAGAUCAGUAAGUAACGUUGUUCUUUAGAAAACGGGUAAUUCCUAGCAGCUAGCAUGAUAUAUCAGUGGGAGACUAAGGGUGUGUUUAGGAUUGAUGGGAACUAUGUGCCUUUAAAUUCACCAUUGUUGUGAGAUGGAAUUAUUAGCUAUUAAGUAAAAGUGGAUGCGUGGUGAUAUUUAGGUGUCUGCCAUAUACUUUGGUAAUUGUACUUUAAAUUAAGUUCAGCAGGAGCAAAGAGUGCAGCAAGCAGCGUUGGAAAAGGUUGAUGAAUGUACAUGAUCACAUGACAAACCUACAUCAUAUUCGGGUCAAUAUGAGCAAUAUUUGAAUAUUCACAUCAAACAAUGAAUCGUACUGAAAAUUUUCAACAUAAUGUUAUAGAAGCUCUGGUAGCACAAGGACAAUUUAUUUCUUUUUUACACAUAUCAUUGCCAAAACUAAGCAUAACUAUCAUUGAAAGAACAUUCCUCAAUCGAUUCAGACACUAACAACUCUGUUGAAGAAUCUGACUCAAUCUCUCUUCCGGAGAUAUGUCGAGAAGAAGAGAAGAAAGGUCUCGGAGGCAUUUGCAAAUCGUCAAUACUCCCUUCUAACAUUUCCAAAACUUUUGUCAUGGAGGGGCGAUCAGCUGCCUUCACCUGAAUACACCAUAAACCAAUCAUACACAGUUUCCUUGCAAUCAUGGACUCAAUUUCAGUCACAUUCCGAAGCUCUAAAUCACCUCCCUUAUUUAAUUGGUCAUAUACCCAAGAUGGGAAAUAUGCUUUGCUUGAACGAGUUGCAUGCAUAUUAGAAUUCCUUCUUCCGCCAGCCAUUUCCAACAACACCAUCCCAAAACCGUAAACAUCUGACUUGCAAGAAACAGUUCCAAAAUUCCUUGAAAUCAGCUCAGGUGCUAUGUAUCCUAUGGUUCCUCUUGUGGCACUGAUGGACACAAAAUCAUUUUCCUUGGGAUGAAACUUUGCAAGGCCGAAAUCUGAGACCUUUGGGAUGAAAUUAUGAUCUAGCAGGAUGUUGUGAGGCUUAAUGUCGAGAUGAAGAAUGCAGACAUCACAUCCGUUGUGUAAAUACUCGAUCCCACGGGCAGUUCCUAAAGCAACUUCAUGGAGUUUCUCCCAACAAAAAGAUUGGCCUCUACUCUCCUUGGGAAAGAUAUGCCUAUCGAGUGAUCCAUUAGGCAUAAACUCGUAGACAAGUGCGCGUUUGGAUCCCUCAGAACAGAACCCCAAUAACUGGACCACAUUAACGUGGUGAAUUCUACCUAUUGUUGAAACUUCGUUGAUGAAUUCCUCCGCACUGAACUUGGAGUUCUCCAGCAUCUUAACAGCAAUCAAGCGACCGGUAUGAAGCGAGAAAGACUAUUGGAGCAAGAAUAAAUCUACCAAUUAUCGGAACAUCAACUAGAAAACUUAUCCCAUUUCCCAUGGAAGGCCAAAAGAUUGCUAGGUAAAUUACUCUGUAAACUGCAAUUGGAGAGAAGGGGGAAAAAUUAAAUAAGCUUUAUACCUAAUCAGAGAGAUGAUUCAGAAAAAAAUUAUACAGUAAAAGAUUAGAGAAUAUAUGAAGCCGUCGCAUUUAUUAACGUCGAAAACACAUGAUCAAAAAGAUAUAUAAGGAUAUGCUUACGCAUAUAACAUGGGUAGCAAAUAAUUUUUGCCACUACUCCUUCAUUGUAUCUGAAGUUGCAAUCUGUUGCAAAAGUGAAAAGAAACAGAAAUUAAGGGUCACAUCGGUAUGCUCUUAGAUAUAGUUCACAAAUUCUUUAUUACGUACAAUAUUGAGAAACAAAAAACAAAUCGCUUGCAUUUGAAGGCAUAAAUAAACAUAAGCAUAGGCUUACACUCAGUAAAUGAGUUGUCCCUGCACUCAUCUAACCGUUUAAGAUCGAACCCUGACUCCAGCGAUUUUCGGAGGUCUUCAUAAGAAGGAUUGUCCACACUCCUAUUAAGUACUACAGGAACCUUUGAAAUAAAGACGCAUGAGUCUGGAAGAUCUGAUAUUCUGGCGUUGGUGACACCAUAUCCAACAUGUCCAACAUAAACAUAGACAUUCGACUGAUUGUUACUCAAACAUGGAACUUUCGUAUACGCCUGAUCAACAAUAUUACUUGAGCAAUUCACGUAAUGGGCGUAUGAUUUAAGAAUGUAACCGUUAAUAUGUCGGAAAAAGUAAGGAUAUGGGGAAAAAGAUUUGUACGGGAGGCCGCAGCUUCCAUUGGCUAGGUUAACAUCAGCAACACUGAUUGUACAUUUAUCAUGGGAAAUUCUCUUUACAUAGUACCUUGCAGAAUUGGACAAUUCUAAGAUGGUUUUGUUGUUCUCGCAAGAAAGUUCUAACUCCGGAUGACCGCAUCCAGCUGGAUCGCCCUUGAGGCGAAAAGGGUAGCUUAUGUUUCUGACAUCUCCACAAGAAGAAGAACACAUUUGUACUCCAAGUUUUCUUGCUUCAAUUUCACUGGUGCUGAAUACAAACAUCAACAGACAAAACAGAAAAGUUGAGAAAAUUGAAGCUUCUUCACUACUCAUUGCUCCUCCAAUUGCAGGAUACAAUUAACGAAUUUGAAUAAACUAAGCAGAACGGUAUAAAAGUGUUCAUUCGCUACGUUUUCUACAGUUUCACUUGCGCGGUGAGAGGCGGGCUUUAAACUUAUUAUAGUUUAGUAUACAACUAUGCGAUUGAAUUACUUAGCACUAAAUAAUUUGUUUUAAAAAUAAUAUUAAUUAUUCAUAAAAUGAAAUCGACACGAUGGAAGAAAAUUUUUAAUUACUGAGUGCUAGGCUUGUAGCAUUACUGCAAUGGGGACAAAUUUAGAUAAACAUGUUCAAUUUCGUUUCUUACUGUAAAUUUUUUAUGCGGAUGCCACGAAGCUUCUGGAGUCUCUUUCCACGAUUUGUUUAAGUGGAAGCUUUCAGAUUCCAAUGGGGAAGUCCAUACGGCAAGGAGAAGUCGCUUAAUUUCCUGGUAAUUGUAAAUGAGUUAGCAUCGGUGGGAAUGGGAUGAUCCAUCCCCAUCCUAGCUUGACCUCAAAUUUCUUGGUAAACGUUCUUCAACAUUAAAAGCGAUGGAACUUAUUGGAAACAGUUUCAAUGCAGUCCAAUUCCAGUUAAUAUCUUUCGCUUUCUUAAUUUCUCACCACCAAACACACUGGCGUACCCCACCUUUUUUUUUUUUUUUUCCUGACAGGAUUUGGAGAAACGCGGCAUUGGAAAUUUGGAGAGGGCCCGACGACCAACACUUUUAAAGCGACCAACAUGCAGAAGAAUGAGGACCUCUCAUGUCAUGUCACAAGUUUCUAAAAAUUAUGGUUGCUGUUGUAAUUAUUGUUAUUAUUAUUAUGAAUAAAGGAAGAUAUGUACAUUUAGAAUUAUGAUUAGGUACCCAGAGUUGAGUAAUAUAAUGCAUGAUAAGUUUUUAUUGGUGGAGUUGUGUUGUAGGCCCCACAACUCCACUAAUUGAAACACGUCAGGUGUGCGUGAUAGGCGUAUACGCCAUACAAUGCAUUAGUAUUUUUAUUAACUUUUUUUUAAAUAACUAAUAUACAGUAUAUUAGUAAAUUCACAUUUUAAAAGAUGUGGAAAUCCACACAUGAUAUAAUAUAUAUAUAUAUAUAUAUAUAUAUAUAUAUAUCUGCCUGAUAUAUAUAUAUAUAUAUAUAUCAAGAAUUUUAAAGUACGGAAAAGUCUGAAAAAAUUUUAAAACCGCACAGUUUUAAAUGUUUAUAGUUUUAAAGAUUUUUCAGACCUUCCCGCACUUUAAAAUCCUGAAUUGGAACAUUUAUGUAUAUAUAUAUGGAUAUGAGUCUAUCCUUGCGCAUUAGUUAUUUUUUGGGCGUUUUAAUGAUUUUGAUUUCAAAUGCCCAAUAUGAGCUGGGCUUCACAUUGAGACCACCAAAAUCCUAAAAGAAGUAUAAACCGUUAGACUGUAAUAAUGGAAACAAGUAAAUAUAUCAAAAAAUGAUAUUGGAAAAUUAAUGGUCGAAUACAUAGUUUGAUCAUAAGAUAUGACAACAAAUAAUAGAUUAUUAGAAUAACAAAAGGAUGUUAUUAAUAAUUUAUUUUUUUUAUCAUAUACGACGUUCAUUAAUCUCAAGUAGAUUAGAGUAGAAAUGAUAUAAUUUAUGACUAAAAUUUAGAUCAAUUUAUAUGUUAUUCAUCACACACAGUAUAUGAAUGAAAAAAGUUAGACCACCGAUGUAAUACUAGUUAGGCGCAAAGGGAACAAAAAAUCAAUGUGUUUUGAUAUUUCCACUUAAGUUACACACAACAAAUUCGAGCUAAGGAUACUUGAAUCUUAUGCUUGGUGCAACAUUUUGGUGUGUCUUUGUAAGCUAAUUUUUCAUGUGAUUUUUAAAACUCUCCAUUUCCGAUUCAAGAUUGGUUCUAUGAGUAGACUUCGUUGCCGUCAAGAGUCAAAAGUGUCACUACGAUAUUUUAUGAAGGCAAAUCACUUCUGCAUAGAUUUCCUCUCCAUCAAAUGUUUUCGUAUUAAUUUUGUGACAUUGUAACCAGUUCUGUUGUGUUUCAUGUGGUAUGUAUCACUGCCAUAAAUUGCUUUAAUGAAAUAAUCACUUAUUUCAAAUGUCGCAGCUGCAUUAGUAUAAUGUAUGUAUUGAUGUAAAAUUUGGUCAUGUUGUAUGCCACUUGUUUUUAAUGUCUGUCAUGUCGAAUUCAAAUCCAUAAAAUAAAUAUUGAUCAAAUGGUUAACUUGGCAGUCGAUAUAGGAAUAGUAGUCUCAUUGAAAAUGUACUAAAAAAACAAUAUAAUAACAUAUCUAUUGCAAAAGGCGAGCAAGAAAAGGAGGGAAAGUAAUGUAGACUGGAUUUAUCUCCAGCCUAAAAGGGGGAAGCACUUCAUAAAUUAAUGCGUUUAAGCCUGCAACCAUUUAUCUGGCAUACAAAGUCAUGCUACUGUAAACAAUUUAUCAAGCACUUUAAUGUCGUGCUGCUAUGGAUAUGCACGCUUCGAUGGCCAUUUCGCAGCUAUUUAUUAUUGUGGAGACAAAAGCGUAUCGAUUGGUGAUUUUUUUUCCUUAUUAAUAUUUGGUGCAUGUUUUGUUCUGAUUGAAGUAGAGGGCCCUAAUUUUCUGAAAUUUUGUUGACAGAAGAUAGAGAGCGCAUAAAUUAAAAUGCCAUUAAGCAAACGCAUUUUAAAUCUUUGUGCUCUCUGUAUUCUGUCAUCAACGUGCAGCUUCAUUUGGCCUUCAAAACUGUAGUGAUCUACUGAUCUUCUUCCAAGUGCUAUUUGUUAAUUUUCAUUUUAUUAUUAUUUUAUUUGUUCAUAUAUACACACACACACACACAGAGAUACACAGACACACACAUACAUACAUAUACAAUUAUACUCCUAAUAUAAUUAUAACUUUAUAAGUUAUGUAUACACAACUAAACCCAGUGUAUAUAUAUCCUCCAUGUAUGCGUAUCUAUAUUGUGAAAUGAGGCAAUUGGCGGCAUUCAAAAUGAAACCCCGCUUGAGGAGUUGAGAGAGAUUCAGAAUGGGGACUGCUCCUGUGAGCUGCUUUAUCACGGACGCUUUGGGCUUUUCAGAGGAGCAGAAUUAAAAGCCCACUAAUGACUUGGGCUAUUCUUGGAGGCAACCGCAGUCCAUAAAGAAGCAUAAAGCCAUGAACUGUUCCGUUGUUUUGUUCAUUUUUUUCCUUCUAGUCUGAUUCACUUCCGAAGUAGCUGUUGAGAAACUUAAAGAUGAAUAUAAUAUCAUGGACUUUAAUUCUUAAAUUUAACAAAUAUGAGAGUACAUUUUAAAAAAAUUGUAAAAACGUUGUAAGAAAGUAAAAUUUUGAAACAAGCAUGUGAUUAAAACAUAAAUGAAUCCCAACUUUAUUUUGGUUUUAAAGGAAAAAAAAAAAGCACCAUCAAAAAUAAAAUAUUCCUAAAUUUUAGUUGAGGGCAUGAUACGAGAACAUAUAUAAAUACAAGAAGAAUGUGAGAGAUAAUAUUAAGAUUUUUAUAUUUUAAAAUAAUAAAUUUCGUUCAUCUCAAUUUUCAAGUACAUAAUAGAAGUACAAUAGUAGGUCCUCAACUAAUAUGACAAAUUGAAAAAAGUCAUCUAUAAUUGUAUUAAUGUUGUGUCAGUCGAACACAUCAAAGAUUUUAAGUGAUUGAUAAAACAACUACAAUAGAAUAAAAACUCAAUAUACUGGUUUUCAAGUGUUCCAAUAACAAGGAGGACUAAAUAAUUUUUCUUAUAAUCGGGGAAAUUUUGAAACAAAUUAACAAUAUAUCUUUUAAAUUGUAAUCUUCUAUUAUCUAGAUCAAUUGAUUGCACCUGUCUCAACAUCAGAAGAGACAAAGGGCAUUGGAGGGAUCUCCAAGCUUUGAAAAUCAGCUUCAAGCAUUUGUAAUACCAUUGGCAUGGAAGGUCUCUCCGUGGGAUUCCAUUGAAUGCACCAAAGUGCCACAAUUGCAAGCUUUCUGGCAAUUCCCUCAUCCCCAUCUUCCUCAAAUUCCAAACAGAGCUCUUGUCCUUGCCUCAUUCUAUUGUAAAUCCACUCCGGAAAAUAUAUUUGG